UGUGUGUAUUUAUGUGUUUGUGCAUGUCCAAAACAAUAAUAAUUUAGAUCUACUGUUCCAUGGUAACCGUGGCCGGUCACAUGAUAUACUGGAUCAUGUGACCGGCCGCGUCAGCUUCACACAACGUGCCCUCAAGCUAACCUUACUGCCGUGACGUGCCCUGCUGCUGCAGAUAACCACUGCGACUCCCGAUUCCAGAAAAAGUAAACAACUGGUCAGAGAUGCCUCGUAAGGAGAGGAGGUUAAAACAAAAACAAAAGGAGCUGUGUGAGGCUGCAAAAGGCAGUGGAUCACUCACCAGCUGGAUGACAAAGAGCACAAAAGUGUCUGCACUAUCAGAUUAAUACAGCCCAACUCCAGCAACACAGAAGCACCAACCCCCUCAACAGAAGCUGUUCCAUGAGCACCCGCCCCUCCAACGGUCUCUGCACGUCCCUGCAUCCUUGCUUCAUCCAGCAGAGUGACACCCAUCGAGUCUCUUACUUUUGGGCCCUUCAGCUGCUCCAGCAGCCGUUCAAUUUGUUUGAAGAGUUGUUUCCUCUCCCUGAGUCCUCCUACGGCAUGAAAGGUGAACAGGUCUGACUGGUUAGUGACUGGUGAUCGGGGAGUGACAGGCAAACAGAUUGGGUGGUGAAGUGAGCUAAAUAAAAGCUGGCUGAUGACUGAGAAUAAAGUAAAGUGCAAACCAGUACCAAAAUACAACCAACCUGUGACAGAAACUAAGACUAUGACAGAACUCAAAUUAAGAUAGGCCCUAAACUUGGACAGAACACAAACUAAGACAACGGCAGAAAUAGCUUAACUGAGAUUUGGCCUUCCACCAUGGAGCUGGUUAUCCCAGGUCUCUGUUCUUGCUGGAGCUGCUUUGCCUUUGCUCUCCUGAGUAGGUCAAGGUCCCCUGCAUCCCACUCAAAGAUACAGGAGGACAGAGCCCUCAUGAACGCAGGAUACAGUGGAUGAGCAUCCGUCGUGCAUCCUACAGCCAGCCGCCGCAUGAAAUGCCAGAUGUCAAGCCGGAUAUGGAGAUCUGGCCACUGUCCAAACCUGGCUUGUAGCUUGCUCAGUCCCUCGGUCUUACAGCAGCCACAGUCCACAUAAAGCACCUUGGGAGGUGCAACCCCAGCCUGGCGGUACCGCUCCAUCAGGCCAGCAGCCAUCCUGUCCAGUCCUGGACCUUCCUGCACAGUCAGGACACUAUUUAAUAUUUGGCCCAUCUCGUUGCUAACUGAAGACACCCACAGAGCCGUUCCUUUGCUGUGUCCUGCCAGCUUCUUUGUGAUCUAAAAUAAAAAUGGGAUUGUAAAUCAAACAGUUUAUCUUGUUUAUAGAAGCCACUGAGUGCCC